UUCAGGGGGUUGGGUGGGGCCCAAGCUGCUCCCACCCAGGGAGACUUUCCCAAUUAGCUCACAAUGAAUUUUUUUUUAUUAUUCUGAAGUUCUUUGGCAUUUAUAACAGUGAAGUGUCUAUGCCAUUUGCUCAAAUAGGGCUUUAAAUUCUCAUAUAAUAAUUGCUUGUGUGAAUCCUUUAUUGCCCCAACUAAAUCAUAAAUUCCAAUAAAAUGAACACUCAAGAAAUAAAUAUUUCCCUACUAUGUUUAGUGGGGUAUUCAUUAAAUUCAUUAAAUUUACUAAACAAAGAAAUCAGAAUUGCUAGGAUAACCUGAAUCCUCCCACCCAAAUAUUCCCUUUAGAUAACUUUGUCAACCUGCACUGCCACUGAGCUUACAGACAGAAAAGUGGGUAACCCGCACGUGUUGCAGUCAGAUUACUUAACAACUGGAUGAAGAUGGUAUGCUGAUCAGUGAGGGUGAUCUGCUAAAACUCUUUGAAAGAGAAUCUACAAUUUUCAAAGAAGAAUCUUCCUUCUAAAUUGCACUGUGUAUCCACUGAGCAGCUCAGCACCCCGGCCUCUGAUCCCCAUUUGGGGACUGACCUUUUCCCAUCAGGGAAUACAGAUACCUCACUCCACAUUAACACCACGUGAACUCCUUAGGCACAUCAGCUCACCAAUGGCAGAGACCACGCAUGUCCUGUCCACACAUGUACCCCGAAAGGCACAGCACAGUUCCCGGAACAGGGUACAGGCACAGCAUCUUUGUCGAGCAAAUGGACGAACAUAGCCCUCCAUGAAGACUUCCCUAGGCUAUACCCCUAUCCCUGAGCUAAUGUCCAAUAAAGACAAAAGAAUU